GAUGAACGCUGGCUACAGGCUUAACACAUGCAAGUCGAGGGGAAACGACGGGGAAGCUUGCUUCCCCGGGCGUCGACCGGCGCACGGGUGAGUAACGCGUAUCCAACCUGCCUCUGACUGAGGGAUAACCCGUCGAAAGUCGGCCUAAUACCUCAUGGCAUCGUCUGCGGGCAUCCAACGACGAUUAAAGAUUUCAUCGGUCAGAGAUGGGGAUGCGUCUGAUUAGCUUGUUGGCGGGGUAACGGCCCACCAAGGCGACGAUCAGUAGGGGUUCUGAGAGGAAGGUCCCCCACAUUGGAACUGAGACACGGGCCAAACUCCUACGGGAGGCAGCAGUGAGGAAUAUUGGUCAAUGGGCGAGAGCCUGAACCAGCCAAGUAGCGUGCAGGAUGACGGCCCUAUGGGUUGUAAACUGCUUUUAUGCGGGGAUAAAGUGAGGGACGUGUCCUUCAUUGCAGGUACCGCAUGAAUAAGGACCGGCUAAUUCCGUG
rnacentral:rRNA from 1 species